GAUGAACGCUGGCGGCGUGCCUAAUACAUGCAAGUCGAGCGAACAGACGAGGAGCUUGCUCCUCUGACGUUAGCGGCGGACGGGUGGGUAACACGUGGAUAACCUACCUAUAAGACUGGGAUAACUUCGGGAAACCGGAGCUAAUACCGGAGAAUAUAUUGAACCGCAUGGUUCAAUGGUGAGAGACGGUGUUGCUGGCACUUAUAGAUGCAUCCGCGCCUCAUUAGCUAGUUGGUAAGUUAACGGCUUACCAAGGCAACGAGGCGUAGCCGACCUGAGAGGGUGAUCGGCCACACUGGAACUGAGACACGGUCCAGACUCCUACGGGAGGCAGCAGUAGGGAAUCUUCCGCAAUGGGCGAAAGCCUGACGGAGCAACGCCGCGUGAGUGAUGAAGGUCUUCGGAUCGUAAAACUCUGUUAUUAGGGAAGAACAAAUGUGUAAGUAACUAUGCACGUCUUGACGGUACCUAAUCAGAAAGCCACGGCUAACUACGUG
rnacentral:rRNA from 1 species